rnacentral:rRNA from 1 species
AUGGCCGAAGCAAUUGUAGGUUUACUGAUCGUCAAGCUGGUUGCGGCCUCGGCGAACGAGGCAGCAACCUUCGGCACAUCGCUGCUUUGCAGUGAAGCCUCGGCCCUCAAGGGUCUAUUCGAUCAGAUCAGUCAAGCCAAGUAUGAGCUUGAAAGCAUGCAGGCAUAUCUGAAAGGUGCAGAGCGGUUCAAGGACGCCGAUGAUACAACUGGCCUCUUUGUCGAGAGGAUCAGGGGCUUCGCUUUCGAGAUCGAAGAUGUGGUCGACAAGUUCACCUAUAAGUUGGAGGACAAGCAUGGAAGGUUUGUUGCCAAGAUGAAGAAGAGGAUCAAGUAUGUCAAGACCUGGCGCCGACUUGCGCACAAGUUUAAAGAUAUCAAUGGCAGACUUCAAGGUGCUAUACAAAGGAAGGAGCACUAUGCCAUGCCAGAAAUUGGCAGAAAUUAUGGCCACAGGGCUCAUCGAGUUUUCAAUUUCUCAAGGGACGAGGACCUUGUAGGGAUCUUUGAGCACAAGCAGCAAUUUAUGCAAUGGCUGACAGGUGACAUGCGAGACAAAAGAAGCAAGAUUUCCACUUUGUGGGGCAUGGCAGGUGUGGGGAAAACAACUUUGGUUGCUCAU